ensembl:lncRNA
AUUAGCUUUGGUAUUAGGAGUUAUAUUAUUUUGUGUAACAGCGCCCUCUUGUGGGUAGAGUGUAUUGUUUGACUGGCAUUGCGUGCCCUCGUCAGUCUGCUCACCGGUGACUGAGGGGAGGUUACUGGUUGUGUAUGGAGAAGAAUCACGCCCAUGUUUUUAUUUGAUUUCUGCAGAAUAAAGUGCCUAAGGGAAUGUCAGCGUCCUGUUAUCAGUGCACCUGAACACAACGCAGUAGUCGGCGAGGCACAGACCGAGCCGGCUACACAGGCACACUGGCACCUGAAGGGAAAAACAAGGGGACUGACACGUAACAAAAGAAAGAAAUUGAGAUGUAAAGCAAAUAUUGAUUCACUAUCUUUGUGCAUAUGCUUUUAAUGAAAUGUUUUGUGGUCAC